GAUGAACGCUGGCGGCGUGCCUAAUACAUGCAAGUCGAGCGAACGGACGAGAAGCUUGCUUCUCUGAUGUUAGCGGCGGACGGGUGAGUAACACGUGGAUAACCUACCUAUAAGACUGGGAUAACUUCGGGAAACCGGAGCUAAUACCGGAUAAUAUUUUGAACCGCAUGGUUCAAAAGUGAAAGACGGUCUUGCUGUCACUUAUAGAUGGAUCCGCGCUGCAUUAGCUAGUUGGUAAGGUAACGGCUUACCAAGGCAACGAUGCAUAGCCGACCUGAGAGGGUGAUCGGCCGCACUGGAACUGAGACACGGUCCAGACUCCUACGGGAGGCAGCAGUAGGGAAUCUUCCGCAAUGGGCGAAAGCCUGACGGAGCAACGCCGCGUGAGUGAUGAAGGUCUUCGGAUCGUAAAACUCUGUUAUUAGGGAAGAACAUAUGUGUAAGUAACUGUGCACAUCUUGACGGUACCUAAUCAGAAAGCCACGGCUAACUACGUGCCAGCAGCCGCGGUAAUACGUAGGUGGCAAGCGUUAUCCGGAAUUAUUGGGCGUAAAGCGCGCGUAGGCGGUUUUUUAAGUCUGAUGUGAAAGCCCACGGCUCAACCGUGGAGGGUCAUUGGAAACUGGAAAACUUGAGUGCAGAAGAGGAAAGUGGAAUUCCAUGUGUAGCGGUGAAAUGCGCAGAGAUAUGGAGGAACACCAGUGGCGAAGGCGACUUUCUGGUCUGUAACUGACGCUGAUGUGCGAAAGCGUGGGGAUCAAACAGGAUUAGAUACCCUGGUAGUCCACGCCGUAAACGAUGAGUGCUAAGUGUUAGGGGGGUUCCGCCCCUUAGUGCUGCAGCUAACGCAUUAAGCACUCCGCCUGGGGAGUACGACCGCAAGGUUGAAACUCAAAGGAAUUGACGGGGACCCGCACAAGCGGUGGAGCAUGUGGUUUAAUUCGAAGCAACGCGAAGAACCUUACCAAAUCUUGACAUCCUUUGACGACUCUAGAGAUAGAGCUUUCCCCUUCGGGGGACAAAGUGACAGGUGGUGCAUGGUUGUCGUCAGCUCGUGUCGUGAGAUGUUGGGUUAAGUCCCGCAACGAGCGCAACCCUUAAGCUUAGUUGCCAUCAUUAAGUUGGGCACUCUAAGUUGACUGCCGGUGACAAACCGGAGGAAGGUGGGGAUGACGUCAAAUCAUCAUGCCCCUUAUGAUUUGGGCUACACACGUGCUACAAUGGACAAUACAAAGGGCAGCGAAACCGUGAGGUCAAGCAAAUCCCAUAAAGUUGUUCUCAGUUCGGAUUGUAGUCUGCAGCUCGACUACAUGAAGCUGGAAUCGCUAGUAAUCGUAGAUCAGCAUGCUACGGUGAAUACGUUCCCGGGUCU
rnacentral:rRNA from 1 species